rnacentral:rRNA from 1 species
GAUGAACGCUAGCGGCAGGCUUAACACAUGCAAGUCGAGGGGUAGAGUAGCAAUACUUGAGACCGGCGCACGGGUGCGUAACGCGUAUGCAAUCUACCUUUCACAAAGGAAUAGCCCAGAGAAAUUUGGAUUAAUGCCUUAUAGUAUAACGAGUUCGCAUGGAUUUGUUAUUAAAGAUUUAUCGGUGAAAGAUGAGCAUGCGUCCCAUCAGCUAGAUGGUAAGGUAACGGCUUACCAUGGCUACGAUGGGUAGGGGUCCUGAGAGGGAGAUCCCCCACACUGGUACUGAGACACGGACCAGACUCCUACGGGAGGCAGCAGUGAGGAAUAUUGGUCAAUGGGCGCAAGCCUGAACCAGCCAUGCCGCGUGCAGGAUGACGGUCCUAUGGAUUGUAAACUGCUUUUAUACAGGAAGAAACACUCGGACGUGUCCGAGCUUGACGGUACUGUAGGAAUAAGGAUCGGCUAACUCCGUGCCAGCAGCCGCGGUAAUACGGAGGAUCCAAGCGUUAUCCGGAAUCAUUGGGUUUAAAGGGUCCGUAGGCGGCUUAAUAAGUCAGUGGUGAAAUCCCUACGCUUAACGUAGGAACGGCCAUUGAUACUGUUAGGCUUGAAUUAUUAGGAAGUAACUAGAAUAUGUAGUGUAGCGGUGAAAUGCUUAGAGAUUACAUGGAAUACCAAUUGCGAAGGCAGGUUACUACUAAUGGAUUGACGCUGAUGGACGAAGCGUGGUAGCGAACAGGAUUAGAUACCCUGGUAGUCCACGCCGUAACGAUGGAUACUAGCUGUGGAGCAUCUCAGUGCUAAGCGAAAGUGAUAGUAUCCCAC